rnacentral:lncRNA from 1 species
AGCAGCACUAACAAUUAUUAUUAUUAUUAUGAAAAACUUCGAAAACUCUCCCUAUGGUUUCGUAGUUUCUUACUUGACCCUCCUGUGGUUUAAAAUAUAUCAAUUUGCAUCCCCUCGUUUUUAUUUUUUCGGUAGCUUUUUCGUUAAUAUUUCAUUAAAUUAUAUACAAAAAAACUUCAGAUAUCCAUCUAGAUUUAUCAAAUAUUCACUUUAGUAUUCUUUAAUUUUAACUUUAUCACUGAUUUAAGAAAAUGAUGAUAGAAGGCUUGAAUUUAAGAUUAAAUGUGCUAAUCUUACUCUAAAUAGUGGAAAGAAAUUUCUAUAAAAAUUUCAUCAGAUUUGAAUUGUUUUACACCGUUUAAUUCACAAACGCAUCAUAUCUAAUAUUAAAAUUGUCAAUUUUGAGACAUUUUGAUAACUAGCCAAAUGAUGCCGAAAAAUUAUGAGAUUUAGUNACUAUCGGUAGCACGGAGACCUCCGUGCUACCAAGUUGUUUUCAAUGAUGCUGCUUCCAAAUCGACGAUCGGCUCCGUUAGAUUUGAUCUACACUAUUGAAAGUAUUUGGAAACUAAAUUUCAUAAUUUUUCGGCAUCAUUUACCUAUCAAACAAGUAGUCUAAAAAUGAACAGUUGAAAAAUAAAAAUUUCAUAAAAAAUGAUGAUAAAAGACUUGAAUUUAAGAUCAGAGAUAUUAAUCUUACUCUAAAUAGUUAAAAGAAUUUUCUAUAAAAAUUUCAUCAAAUUUGGAUUGUUUUACACCGUUAAAUUCACAAACGCAUCAAAUCUAUCAUUAAAAUUGUCAGUAUUGAGACAUUUUGAUCACUAGCCAAAUGAUGUCAAAAAAUUAUGAAAUUUAGUUUCCAAAUAUUUUCAAUAGUGUAGAUCAAGUCUAACGGAGCCGAUCGUUGAUUUGGAAGCAGCGUCAUUGAAAACAACUUGGUAGCACGGAGGUCUUCGUGCUACCGAUAGUAUACCAGCCUACCUCUCUCUCUCUCUCUCUCUAUAUAUAUAUAUAGGAGUCCGGCUAUUAUACUUUUAUGAGUACGAUCGUCUUCGUACUCAUAAGUCGUUUUCGAUAAUAGAGCUUCCAAAUCGACGAUCCAUACCGUUAAACAUUUUUUAGAGCAUUUAAAACUUCUAGAAAUUAAAUUCUAUAAUUUUUCGAUAUCAUUUACCUUACAAUCAAUAGCUCACAAAAUUGACAAUUUUUAACGGCCGGUAUGUGAUACUUACUAGUUUAACGGUGUAAAAGAAUCAGGAUAGCUUGAAUUUUUUAUAGAAAAUUCUAUUCAUUACCUAGAUAAAAAUUAAUAACCCCGAUCUUAAAUUGAAGGAUCCAAUCAUCCAUUUUUAGGACGUCUUUCAAUUUUGACCGUUCAUUUUACAUCCGCUUGAUGAACUUUAUAAUGAUUUUGAAAAGUUACGAAAUUUAUUUUCUAGAAGUUUCAAAUACUCUAGAUCAUGUUUAACGGUGUGGAUCGUCGAUUUGGAAGCCCGAACAUCGAAAAUAACUUAUGAGUACGAAGGGCUCUAUACUCAUAAGAGUCACUACAACAAUAUUGAUAUUUAGCAACAUUUUUCUAGCAACACUUAGGUAUACGUUACUAUUUAUUUUAUUUAGUAACACACAAAUGAAAGUGUUGCUGAAUAUAUAAAUUCACCAACAUUAUAUAAUAAAUGUUGCUAAAGGUUAUAAUUACCAGUAUAUAUUAUUAUAUGUCGCAAUAAAAAUUAAUAUUUAAAACUUAUAUACAAACAUAAUUAUAAAAUAAUUAUGAAAAUAACAAAAAUAUAAAAAAU